rnacentral:ncRNA from 2 species
UACGGAGGAUGCGAGCGUUAUCCGGAUUUAUUGGGUUUAAAGGGAGCGUAGACGGGAUGUUAAGUCAGUUGUGAAAGGCUGCGGCUCAACCGCAGCACUGCAGUUGAUACUGGCGUCCUUGAGUGCGGUUGAGGUAUGUGGAAUUCGUGGUGUAGCGGUGAAAUGCUUAGAUAUCACGAAGAACUCCGAUUGCGAAGGCAGCAUACUAAGCCGCUACUGACGUUGAGGCUCGAAAGUGUGGGUAUCAAACAGG